rnacentral:piRNA from 1 species
GAGAAACAGACGGGCCUGAUCUACACC